GUUUUUUACAUUUGCUAUAAAUUGUAGCUAGUCGUUUCCAAGUAAUCACAAUUGAAAUAUUUUUCGCAUGAAGAUAUUGGUUACUCUUCUUCUUCUUAUCACUUGUGCUAGGAGUGAAAGUGAAGGGACAAUACAAAAAACAGGUAAUUGUAUUCAAAGCUUUGGUCAUUGUGGAUUGACGAUAGCGUUUUGUUGUAACACCAAUGUGAUAUGCAUGUUAUGUCGACAUACGCCAGAAGAAUGUAUGAAAUUAUGCUCUAAGACUCCUACUCCUGUGGAGGUUUCAAUGAUGUCGAUAUACCCGCGAAGAAUGUUUAACAUUGUGCUCUAAGACUCCUAAUGAGGUUUCAAUGAUAAAUGUAAUGAAGUAAAAUAAUCUGCUCUUUAUCUUUUGAAAUAUGAUUUCGAUUGUUAGUUACAAGGUUACCCUUACAAGAUACUAAGAUUAUUAACAUGAGGCCACCCCAUGAUUUCUAUAUCAUUUUUUCAA